UAGGGAAUCUUGCGCAAUGGGCGAAAGCCUGACGCAGCAACGCCGCGUGGGGGAUGAAGGCUCUCGGGUUGUAAACCCUUCAGUCAGGGAGCGAUUAUGACGGUACCUGCAGAAGAAGGACCGGCCAACUACGUGCCAGCAGCCGCGGUAAUACGUAGGGUCCGAGCGUUGUCCGGAUUUAUUGGGCGUAAAGAGCUCGUAGGCGGCUCAGUUAGUCGGAUGUGAAAACUCGGGGCUCAACCCCGAGACGCCAUCCGAUACUGCUGUGGCUUGAAUCU
rnacentral:rRNA from 1 species